CCUACGGGAGGCUGCAGUGGGGGAUAUUGCACAAUGGGGGAAACCCUGAUGCAGCGACGCCGCGUGUGGGAAGACGGUCCUCUGGAUUGUAAACCACUGUCCCCAGGGACGAAGAUGACGGUACCUGGGGAGGAAGCUCCGGCUAACUACGUGCCAGCAGCCGCGGUAAUACGUAGGGAGCGAGCGUUGUCCGGAAUUACUGGGUGUAACGGGAGCGUAGGCGGGACUGCAAGUUGGGUGUCAAAUCUACCGGCUCAACCGGUAGCCGCACUCAAAACUGCAGUUCUUGAGUGAAGUAGAGGCAGGCGGAAUGCCUAGUGUAGCGGUGAAAUGCGUAGAUAUUAGGAGGAACACCAGUGGCGAAGGCGGCCUGCUGGGCUUUUACUGACGCUGAGGCUCGAAAGUGUGGGGAGCAAACAGGAUUAGAUACCCCAGUAGUC
rnacentral:rRNA from 1 species